ACCCGCACAAGCGGUGGAUGAUGUGGAUUAAUCGAUGCAACGCGAAAACCUUACCUACCCUUGACAUGUCCGGAAUCCCGAAGAGAUUUGGGAGUGCUCGCAAGAGAGCCGGAACACAGGUGCUGCAUGGCUGUCGUCAGCUCGUGUCGUGAGAUGUUGGGUUAAGUCCCGCAACGAGCGCAACCCUUGUCAUUAGUUGCCAUCAUUUGGUUGGGCACUCUAAUGAGACUGCCGGUGACAAACCGGAGGAAGGUGGGGAUGACGUCAAGUCCUCAUGGCCCUUAUGGGUAGGGCUUCACACGUCAUACAAUGGUCGGUACAGAGGGUUGCCAACCCGCGAGGGGGAGCUAAUCCCACAAAGCCGAUCGUAGUCCGGAUCGCAGUCUGCAACUCGACUGCGUGAAGUCGGAAUCGCUAGUAAUCGUGGAUCAGCAUGUCACGGUGAAUACGUUCCCGGGUCUU
rnacentral:rRNA from 1 species